rnacentral:rRNA from 1 species
CUUGCCCUAUAUAAGAGGUCCAGCCUGCCCAGUGACAUUGUUCAACGGCCGCGGUAUCCUAACCGUGCGAAGGUAGCGUAAUCACUUGUUCUUUAAAUGAGGACUAGUAUGAAAGGCAUCACGAGAGUCAUACUGUCUCCUUUAUCUAAUCGGUGAAACUAAUUUUCCCGUGAAGAAGCGGGAAUAAAAUUAUAAGACGAGAAGACCCUAUGGAGCUUGAAACAAAUAACACUUGCCUGUCUAACCAAAAUUCCAGAAAAAUUUCUCUACUUUGGCAUCAUGAUUAUUAGUUUUCGGUUGGGGUGACCACGGAACAAAAAAUAACUUCCGCAAUGAAAGACACUCUAUUACUAAGUUAAGGACUACAGCCCUACACAUCAACAAAUUGACACCAAUUGACCCAACAUGUUGAUCAAUGAAC